rnacentral:tRNA from 1 species
GCCCCGCUAACUCAAUGGUAGAGUAACGGCCUUUUAAGCCGGUGGUUGUAGGUUCAAAUCCUACGCGGGGCAC